rnacentral:rRNA from 1 species
UGACAGUACUCCUACGGGGAGGCAGCAGUGGGGGAAUAUUGCACAAUGGGCGCAAGCCUGAUGCAGCCAUGCCGCGUGUGUGAAGAAGGCCUUCGGGUUGUAAAGCACUUUCAGUCGUGAGGAAGGUAGUGUAGUUAAUAGCUGCAUUAUUUGACGUUUAGCGACAGAAGAAGCACCGGCUAACUCCGUGCCAGCAGCCGCGGUAAUACGGAGGGUGCGAGCGUUAAUCGGAAUUACUGGGCGUAAAGCGCAUGCAGGUGGUUUGUUAAGUCAGAUGUGAAAGCCCGGGGCUCAACCUCGGAAUAGCAUUUGAAACUAGGCAGACUAGAGUACUGUAGAGGGGGGUAGGAAUUUCAGGUGUAGCGGUGAAAUGCGUAGAGAUCUGAAGGAAUACCGGUGGCGAAGGCGGCCCCCUGGACAGAUACUGACACUCAGAUGCGAAAGCGUGGGGAGCAAACAGGAUUAGAUACCCUGGUAG